ensembl:lncRNA
UCCCCCGCCCCACCUCCUCUCUGAAGGGCUGGAACGGGGAGGCCACGACCUCCGGGCCUGAAAUUUAAACUCCUCGUAAAAAACAGUUGGAAAGGGAGGAGAAAACACCCUUUCAGACACCCAUGUUUUCUUUCUUGCUCUGUUUACUUAAUGCCAGGCCUGUCAUGUUCCCGUGGCGCAGACGGCAGCUGAAUGUUUCUCCUGUGGGCCUCGUACUGCUUUGGUUGCUUCUAGAACUGCGGCUGAAAUUUAACAAGCUCCUGUGCUGUUUACUCUGCUCAGCCUCCAUCCAUCCACAUAAUAACAGCCCUAAUCAAGCCAUAUGCCGACGCUUUGCUUUAUGAUUUGUUUGUAUGAACAAUAAUACAACAAAUCUGGAGGACGCCUGCAGGAAUGCAGCUUUGAAAUGCUCUGAUGAAGUGUUUUGGCUUUGUUUUACAGAUUUGGCCUGGGGGCUUUGGGCAGCGUGCUGGAUGAGGGGAGUUCCCCACUUAAAAAAGUGAAAACAAACUUAGAAGUUGGAAGAGGCCCAAGAGAAGAAAGUCACCUUUGGAUGGAGAGAGAAAAAAAGAAGGGGAGGACAGGCGGUGAGGGCCAGUGACCUGCACCUCCAGAAGAAACCGGAGACACCUUGGAGGGAAAAGAGAAAUGCCCUUUAACUCUCCUCCACAUCACAUCUGGACGAGCACAGCCGUCCUCCUCUCUCCUUUCCGUCUCCCUCCAGCAUCACCACCCAAAAUCCAAACCACCCACCCUUUCUCUCCCAUCCGGUCCUGAACUUGGAUGGACUCAGCAGCUCCAGAGGCCCAAACCUGCACCCUGUAUCCAUGGAAACCAGUGUGCACAUCCCAUAGAGACAGCUAUUACAUUUUUGAGGAUACAGAGUCGAGUUUCACUUGCACAAAAAAUGAUUAAACAAACACACCAAAAAAAAAAAAAAAAAAUCACAUUUUGAUGUUAAAAAAUGUCCUCAUAAAAUCAGUUUUAUAUCUUAAAAGGAAAUGAAAAAUUCCACAACAGCC